ensembl:lncRNA
GAAACUCUGAACAACAACAAAACACAGCGUGGAGGAGACGACUGCGAGCGAGACAUUUACAAACCAACUUAUGGAUCCAGCGCGUGGAAACAUUUUGGCUUUUGCAAACACGUCGGUCGCUGUUUGUAGAAUAUGUAGAAGCCAAAUAAAAAACCACGGAAACACGACGAAUCUUUCCGGCCAUCUACUAAGGCGCCGUGGGAUGAAACAACGCCGACAGUCAGGACCUCUAGCAGCGUCACCGCUGCAGCAGCAGCAGGGGAUCUCUGGAUGUGCACUGCUAUUGCAUGAAGGGACAUUUUCUGAAGACAUCAAGGACAGGAGGGCUCCAAUUGCCACACUGUGAGGAAAAUGCUCAUUUCAGUCUGGAUCCUACGUGUGCGAGAGGCUGUGUGGCUGCGCCCUGUGUAAACACCUGGUCACCGCCACUGUGCACCGUCUGACCGCAGAACAAUGGACAGCCAGCUGGGCCAUCUUUUACUCUUCAUUGAGGUUCACCUUAAGAAUUGCAUGUGGACUCUUGUGAGUAAUUACAAGAAAGUGAGCCUUUGACCUUUGACGUAUAUUGGAAAAUAAAACGUUAAGAGUAACAUUGUCAAUAUGUGUGUAUUGAUCACAACUGUAAUUAGUACUAAAUGCACUGACAGGUGGGUGGUGUCACACAGAAAACGGAUAACAUUACUCUAAUCAUUGUUUUUGAAUUCUGUUGAGUGUG